UGUUCCCAUUCCGAACACAGUAGUUAAGCUCAUUAACGGUGAAAAUACUUGGCUGGAGACGGCCCGGGAAAAUAACACGGCGCGCACA
rnacentral:rRNA from 1 species